AUACGGAGGGUGCAAGCGUUAUCCGGAAUCAUGAGGUUUAAAGGGUCCGCAGGCGGAUUAAUAAGUCAGUGGUGAAAUCCUCUCGCUCAACGAGAGAACUGCCAUUGAAACUGUUAGUCUUGAAUUCGGUCGAAGUAGGCGGAAUGUGUCAUGUAGCGGUGAAAUGCAUAGAUAUGACACAGAACACCGAUAGCGAAGGCAGCUUACUAGACCUGGAUUGACGCUCAUGGACGAAAGCGUGGGGAGCGAACAGGAUUAGAAACCCUAGUAGUCC
rnacentral:rRNA from 1 species